CCUACGGGUGGCAGCAGUGAGGAAUAUUGGUCAAUGGGCGAGAGUCUGAACCAGCCAAGUAGCGUGAAGGAUGACUGCCCUACGGGUUGUAAACUUCUUUUAUAAAGGAAUAAAGUGAGGCACGUGUGCCCUUUUGUAUGUACCCUAUGAAUAAGGAUCGGCUAACUCCGUGCCAGCAGCCGCGGUAAUACGGAGGAUCCGAGCGUUAUCCGGAUUUAUUGGGUUUAAAGGGAGCGUAGAUGGGUUGUUAAGUCAGUUGUGAAAGUUUGCGGCUCAACCGUAAAAUUGCAAUUGAUACUGGCAGGCUUGAGUACAGUAGAGGUAGGCGGAAUUCGUGGUGUAGCGGUGAAAUGCUUAGAUAUCACGAAGAACUCCGAUUGCGAAGGCAGCUUACUGGACUGCAACUGACACUGAUGCUCGAAAGUGUGGGUAUCAAACAGGAUUAGAUACCCCAGUAGUC
rnacentral:rRNA from 1 species